GCUGGCGGCNGGCCUACACAUGCAAGUCGAGCGGAUGAGAAGAGCUUGCUCUUCGAUUCAGCGGCGGACGGGUGAGUAAUACCUAGGAAUCUGCCUGGUAGUGGGGGACAACGUUUCGAAAGGAACGCUAAUACCGCAUACGUCCUACGGGAGAAAGCAGGGGACCUUCGGGCCUUGCGCUAUCAGAUGAGCCUAGGUCGGAUUAGCUAGUUGGUGAGGUAAUGGCUCACCAAGGCUACGAUCCGUAACUGGUCUGAGAGGAUGAUCAGUCACACUGGAACUGAGACACGGUCCAGACUCCUACGGGAGGCAGCAGUGGGGAAUAUUGGACAAUGGGCGAAAGCCUGAUCCAGNCCAUGCCGCGUGUGUGAAGAAGGUCUUCGGAUUGUAAAGCACUUUAAGUUGGGAGGAAGGGCAGUAAGCGAAUACCUUGCUGUUUUGACGUUACCGACAGAAUAAGCACCGGCUAACUCUGUGCCAGCAGCCGCGGUAAUACAGAGGGUGCAAGCGUUAAUCGGAAUUACUGGGCGUAAAGCGCGCGUAGGUGGUUCGUUAAGUUGGAUGUGAAAUCCCCGGGCUCAACCUGGGAACUGCAUCCAAAACUGGCGAGCUAGAGUAGGGCAGAGGGUGGUGGAAUUUCCUGUGUAGCGGUGAAAUGCGUAGAUAUAGGAAGGACACCAGUGGCGAAGGCGACCCCUGGGCUCAUACUGACACUGAGGUGCGAAAGCGUGGGGAGCAACAGGAUUAGAUACCUGGUAGNCCCGCCGUAACNAUGU
rnacentral:rRNA from 1 species